CAGGAAGGGAAAAAUGUAGGCAAGGCUAUCUGGAGAAAAAUUAACCAGGAUGCGCACAACGACAAUCGGCGGUCCGCACUCCUAUGCGGGUACCCGCGUCAGCCCCAGCACGCACGGUGGCUGAUGAAGAAAAGGAUGAACCUGCCUGCCUGGACUUACACUCUUACGUGUACUCGUUUGCUGAUAACCUGCUUGCCGACCUGCCCGCCUAGCUUCCGUGUAAACUCAAGACUGCCUGCCAAACCAGACAACACCACUGAGAACUCAGUCUACACUCAGGCCACUCUGCUCCAAUCUCCAAGACUGGGGGAAAAAUUAUUUAGUGGUUUUCACAUCAUAGCAACAGUAUUGUCUACUGUAUAUGCUAAUACCCUUGAUUAUUUACCUCCUUGUUUAUCUCCUUUUGGACUUCCAUUAUACUUUCACAAAAGGAUCUUUAGAAAAUAUGGUCUUGUUUUAAUAAAAAUAUCUAAAUCCUUAGAAACUCACUGUCUUGUACCCAAGACCAUUUGGGUAAGUUUUACACUUUGACUUACAGCAAUGUUUUACUUUUGCAGCGCUUUUUUUUACUGUCUAGUAUACUCUCUUCCCUGGGGACCCAUUGUCACCACCAGCAGUCUGAUUUUUUUUUUUUUCUCAGCUCUCACUGUUGAUAACUAAACAAAAUUUAAAAAGGCAAAAUUUUCUUUGCAAAAAGUAAGGUCAUGGACACAAAAUUAAAUUGGGUAACUCUACAGUCUGUGUAUAGAGCACAUAUGCCCACACAGAAAAAGGAUAGAGUCUCGUAGGUCCAGUUGUGUCCAUAAUGCUGUGUCAUUAAUGUGACAUCCUUGGUCAUUAAAACUGUUAAUUGGAAGAGAUGUGUAAUAAUAAAGUAAAAGAUAAGCUCCUGCAACUUGAGGAAGAAAAAGAUAGAUGAGAAUGACAGAGGUGAAGAUGAGUAUGUGUGCAAUAAGGAAACAGAAGUCACCUGAAAUGAACAGGAAAGAGUAAAAUUUAGACCAAAAUAUACUGGCUUACCAUUACAUUUAGAAACAUGUUUUCUCAUUCCACAAUGAAUUAUUAUUUUCAACAUUUAUGUUUUCCCCUUGAUUACUUAAUUAAUCCUAGUCUAUAAGAUGUCAAAAAAUUGGCAAAUUCCUAUGCCAGUGCAGUAUUUAAAAGUGAUAUUUAAGGUGCUCAGUUUAUCAGUCACACACCAUCCUUGACGACUUACAAACCGGUUGAAUGCAUUUCUUUUUACAUACGACAUUUAUAAAGCCUUUAAUAGAAACCUUCACUGUUUACAUCUGCUCAGUCUUCCUUCCUCUCUUCUGUUGGCACAUUGCUACCUUUUCAGGUGCAUUACUGCAACCAACUGUUGACAUGUGUAGUCGGCAGAAAUGUGUGUCACAUAACUGUCACAUAACUGUGGUGUGAAUACGCGUCUUUGUCGUAUGCUGGUAGAACAUGUUAUUCUAACAAUACAGAGAACCCACAAAUUUUGCUCUACAGUUCCCUUAAGACAGAUAUACUUAGUUUUAAACCACACAGAGGCAGCGUGUUUCUGCCAACACUCCAAACAGAUGCAGGAUCGCGAGGCAGCCAUCAUGCAAACACGUAGUUAAAAGCAAGUAUACCUCCCGCUUUAUUGAUCAGAAACUUCACACUGUAACUUUAAUCGAGUAAUUGUUUCAGCACUGCUGUACAGUCAGCGAUGCAAGAGUAAAUAAGUACAUUUACUAUACUUCUUCUUCUAUACUAUAAAAGUGGGGAGAAUGUUCCAAGUGGAUGAAACAGAAAAGUGCACGUUACCCAGUUUUAUUACCAGUUAUUUUUAGUAUGCAUUUCAAUGUAAAGCUUCCCAUUCCCCAUGUCAAAUGCAUUGUUAGGAAAGAAACAGUUCUGGAUGAGGCAAGCAUGUAUGUUAAAUGGUCUAAUAGGCUGGUACAAACAUGUUGAUGUGAUGUGUCAAUUUGUGGAUACAUGGACUGAACAUAAUUCACUGUUGGCAAGACACCAUUUUCUUGUUGGUAGCAGUUGCAAAAAGUAGUUCUCCAAUUUAUGUAUAGGAUUUUUCUUUUUAGUAAAAUGACAAAAGGGGCCGUUUUUUAAAACAUUCUGAGGAAAACAUUUAUAGACACAAAUAUUGUACCAGUUCACAAAUGUUGAAUGAAAUUUCAUCUGUCAUCAGAGAAGUAUGUUACACUAUGUUAGGAAGUCUUUAAGGAUGCUGGAAACUUGUACAGCAUAAUUAUAUGAAGCUUGUUGUCACUAAUUCACUAACCUACUAAUAGAUCUUUGAUUGAUUAACAGUACAACUGUUCAGACUGCUAUGUAAUUUGUGAAAUCCCACAUCACAUAUGGGAUUUGAUUUCCCAAAACUUUAAAGGAGCACCACAAUA